GACGUAGGGCGCGAGCGUUAUCCGGAAUGAUUGGGCGUAAAGCGUCCGCAGGUGGCUAUGUAAGUCUGCUGUUAAAGAGUCUAGCUCAACUAGAUACAAGCAGUGGAAACUACAAGGCUAGAGUACGUUCGGGGCAGAGGGAAUUCCUGGUGUAGCGGUGAAAUGCGUAGAGAUCAGGAAGAACACCGGUGGCGAAGGCGCUCUGCUAGGCCGUAACUGACACUGAGGGACGAAAGCUAGGGGAGCGAAUGGG
rnacentral:rRNA from 1 species